rnacentral:lncRNA from 1 species
CCGCUUCCUUUCACGCUAUCGGUGGCCGUAGGUGGUCGUGGCCACCGCACCCGGCGGGAGGUGGCGGCGGCCAGUAAUGCCCGGGAAACUCCUCUGGGGAGACAUCAUGGAGCUCGAGGCACCCUUGGAAGAGUCCGAGAGCCAGAGGAAGGAGCGGCAAAAGGUAUUUAUUGAGGCUAAUUGUGCCAGACUCUUUGCUGAGUUCCAAGGAGCUUAAACUAAUUAAGUAUGCAAAAUGGUCCCUGCCCACCAGGAGCCUGUAGAGGAAUUUUUAGAGGCUCUAUCCCCACCUCCGUCUGAAAAAUAAAAAAAGGAA